CUGGGAUUGCCCUAGUAACGGCGAGUGAAGCGGCAACAGCUCAAAUUUGAAAUCUGGCGCCUGCGCCCGAGUUGUAAUUUGCAGAGGAUGCUUCCUGCGCGGUGCCUUCCGAGUUCCCUGGAACGGGACGCCAAAGAGGGUGAGAGCCCCGUACGGUCGGCAACCAAGCUAUUGUGUGGCACCUUCGACGAGUCGAGUAGUUUGGGAAUGCUGCUCUAAAUGGGAGGUAAACUCCUUCUAAAGCUAAAUAUUGGCCAGAGACCGAUAGCGCACAAGUAGAGUGAUCGAAAGAUGAAAAGCACUUUGAAAAGAGAGUCAAACAGCACGUGAAAUUGUUGAAAGGGAAGCGCUUGUGACCAGACUUGGGCCUGGUAGUUCAGCCGUCCUUCUGGGCGGUGCACUCUGCCGGUUCAGGCCAGCAUCAGUUGUCGGUUGGGGAGAAAGACGACGGGAAUGUGGCUCCUCGGAGUGUUAUAGCCCGGCGUUAUGCCCUUCCGGCGACUGAGGACUGCGCAUCUGCACGGAUGCUGGCGUAAUGGUCAUCAGCGACCCGUCUUGAAACACGGACCAAGGAGUCAUCCUGGCAUGCGAGUGUUUGGGUGUUAAACCCCUACGCGAAAUGAAAGUGAACGGAGGUGAGAGCUUCGGCGCAUCAUCGACCGAUCCUGAUGUUCUCGGAUGGAUUUGAGUAAGAGCAUGUCGGGCUGGACCCGAAAGAAGGUGAACUAUGCUUGGAUAGGGCAAAGCCAGAGGAAACUCUGGUGGAGGCUCGCAGCGGUUCUGACGUGCAAAUCGAUCGUCAAAUCUAAGCAUGGGGGCGAAAGUAAGUUGAAAUUCCAACAGCAGCCAGACCACGGAGGAAACCCAGUACUAACUAAACCUUUUUCUAGGACUAAUCGAACCUUCUAGUAGCUGGUUUCCGCCGAAGUUUCCCUCAGGAUAGCAGUGCUGAUCUCAGUUUUAUGAGGUAAAGCGAAUGAUUAGGGACUCGGGGGCGCUAUUUAGCCUUCAUCCAUUCUCAAACUUUAAAUAUGUAAGAAGCCUUUGUUGCUUAAGUGAACGAAGGCAUUAGAAUGUACAGCACUAGUGGGCCAUUUUUGGUAAGCAGAACUGGCGAUGCGGGAUGAACCGAUCGCGAGGUUAAGGUGCCGGAGUGGACGCUCAUCAGACACCACAAAAGGUGUCGUCACAUCUUGACAGCAGGACGGUGGCCAUGGAAGUCGGAACCCGCUAAGGAUCGUGUAACAACCCACCUGCCGAAUGUGACGGCCCUGAAAAUGGAUGGCGCUCAAGCGUCCCACCCAUACCUCGCCCUCAGGGCAGAACUACGCCCUGAGGAGUAGGCGGACGUGGAGGUCAGUGACGAAGGCUAGGGC
rnacentral:rRNA from 1 species